GCCUGGUUGGCUCAGUUGGUUAAGCAUCUGACUUCAGCUCAGGUCAUGAUCUCGCAGUUCAUGAGUUCAAGCCCCACGUCAGGCC
rnacentral:tRNA from 1 species